rnacentral:rRNA from 1 species
GACAGAGGGUGCAAACGUUGCUCGGAUUUACUGGGCGUAAAGCGCAAGUAGGCGGUCUUGUAAGUCGGGUGUGAAAACCCGGGGCUCAACCCCGGCAGUGCACACGAUACUGCGAGACUGGGGUACUGAAGAGGAGAGCGGAAUUCUCGGUGUAGAGGUGAAAUUCGUAGAUAUCGGGAGGAACACCAGUGGCGAAGGCGGCUCUCUGGGCAGAUACCGACGCUGAGAUGCGAAAGCGUGGGAAGCAAACAGG